AGAAAGCUAUGCGUGACCUUGCAUAUUUCGGAAGUGGUGUAGUAGGGCGUUUACUCGAGGUGAUUCCCGGAUGAACUGUAGGACUGAAAGCUAUGAUUAUUAAAGGCCUAUAUAUGAAAUGUAUGAUCAAUUAAAUAAAAUAAAUUCUUUA